rnacentral:piRNA from 1 species
ACUAAAGAAAGUGUAAACUAAUGGA